rnacentral:tmRNA from 1 species
GUGCAGGGGAAGCUUCGGCUUCCUGGCUAUGGCGAUAAACGGAACGUAGAAUAAGCGUUGUGGACCCGGGGGCGGUACCCGGCGUCUCCACCAGGUUUCUUCCGGCUUUGCGGUCGGGGGAUAUGGGGACGAAACAGGCUCGACACGCGUGGUAAAACCGUUCCUUUUGCCCGGCAUUGUACCACCGUCAUCGGGCUAAAUCACAAGUGCCAACGAUAACUCUGAGGUGCUCGCUGUCGCUGCAUAAGCGAUAAGCGCGGUUCGGGAGGGCACCGGGCAACAGAAGCCCUCCCACCUCGGUUUCCCUGACAUCACCCUUCUGUGACAUAAUGUGGACG